GUCCUCUUGUGUCUAUUUGAGGUCUGACCUGCCCAGUGAUAUAUUUAACGGCCGCGGUAUAUUGACCGUGCAAAGGUAGCAUAAUCAUUAGUCUUUUAAUAGAAGACUGGAAUGAAAGGUUUCACGAGCCAUUGACUGUCUCAUUUUUAUAUAUUUAUAACUUAAUUUUUAAGUUAGAAAGCUUAAAUUUUAUUGAAGGACGAGAAGACCCUAUAGAGCUUUACAUUUUAAUUUUUAAUAUUUUCUUGUAAAUAAAUAUUUAUUAAAAAUAAAUUGUUUUGUUGGGGUGAUAAAAUUAUUUAAUAAACUUUUUUAUUUUAUAAACAAUUAUUUUUGAUUAUUUGAUCCAUUAUUAAUGAUUAAUAGAUUAAGUUACCUUAGGGAUAACAGCGUAAUCUUCUUUAGAAGUUCAAAUUUGCAAGAAGGCUUGCGACCUCGAUGUUGGAUUAAGAUAAUAAUUUGGUGUAGUAGUUAAAUUAAUAGGUCUGUUCGACCUUUAAAAUCUUACAUGAUCUGAGUUCAGACCGG
rnacentral:rRNA from 1 species